GUCACAGCCUGCCAGCCUCUGAUGAAGAGAGAGAGGCAACUCAAGCAACAGGCAUGCCAGCGCUUCCAAGUGUGUCACAGCCCGGAGAAGCCCUGCACGACAGGAAAUACGCCUUUUUUCCAAAGCACCGAGGUUUGGCUAGUGGGAGAAGUGCAGCUGCCGCAGAGCCAAAAGACAUACAAAAGCAU